UUCAGGAUGAAUAUCCUCCUUAUCUUCACCUUCUACCUGAUCUCAGGUCCUGUGAGCUGCUUUGAUGUGAUUGGCUACUCUGGAGGAAUUGUCAUGAUCUACUGUACAAUACCGGAGAAUAAAGGAUACAAUAUGUAUUUCUGUAAGGAAUCAGCAACAGAGUGUGUGUAUCCAGAAUCUGAUUCAUCACCGAACACAUGGGAUCAUAAAGGCAGAGUUUCUGUAGAUGAGAUUCCUGGAUUCCUCACAGUGAUCUACAGAGAUCUGAGUUUAGAGGACACUGGAUUAUAUCAGUGUGGAGAGACUGGAGAGUGGCAGGAGACUUUGAAGCUGAACGUAAAAUCAGAUCCAUGCUGUCUGGGGUCAAAGACUGUGAUUGGUUAUCUGGGAGAAACCGUCACCAUGAGCUGUUCCUAUCCAGAGGAGUCUGAAGAAAAGGCUAAGAUCUUCUAUAAACAGGAUUUUGAGGAGUUUACACUUAUUAUUGGUACCAGUGAUUCUCAGAAAGGCACAUCCUCUAAGACUCUGAAAGAAAAAUUCUCCAUCUCUGAGGACCGUGAGUCUAGAGUUGUCAGUGUGAGAAUCAGAGAUGUGAUAAAAGAAGAUGAAGGUGAUUAUUACUGUGGAGCACCAGGUGAUGAGGGUGCAGCCAAUUAUGAAACCUUCUUCACUAAGAUUCACCUGCAGGUUACAGGUAAGAUCCACUUGUUUUGAUUACUCUAUCCAGCAAGCAGAGGGCUCAGGCUAAAGAGUAGUCAAAAA
rnacentral:lncRNA from 1 species